rnacentral:rRNA from 1 species
AUGACUGGUAUCUAUGGAGAACUGAGCUGGGAUUGCAAGGAGCACACAUUUCGUCUAUUACGCGACCUGCAUGCCCAAUCUACCCUACCAUGGACCGUACUUGGAGACGUUAAUGAAAUCAUUUUCUCCUUUGAAAAAGAGGGAGGAGUCCCACGACAUCAAUCGCGACUACAAGCAUUCCAAGAUGCUUUGUCCGACUGUUCUCUAGAAGACAUUGGCUACAUCGGUGACAUUUUCACAUGGUUCCGAGGGGGCCUAAAAGAGAGGCUGGAUCGGGCCGUCUCCAAUGCUGCACGGAUGGAAUUACACCCUCUGGUAGGGUUGACGAACUUGGAGAUGGGGAAGUCUGAUCACCGGCCCAUA